rnacentral:rRNA from 1 species
AUACGGAGGGUGCAAGCGUUACUCGGAAUCACUGGGCGUAAAGCGCGCGCAGGCGGUCUUUUAAGUUGGAUGUGAAAGCCUACGGCUCAACCGUAGAACUGCAUCCAAAACUAUUAGACUAGAGUGUGGGAGAGGAAGAUGGAAUUAGUUGUGUAGGGGUAAAAUCCGUAGAGAUAACUAGGAAUACCAAAAGCGAAGGCAAUCUUCUGGAACACUACUGACGCUGAGGCGCGAAAGCGUGGGGAGCAAACAAGAUUAGAUACCCUAGUAGUCC